AUGUCCGGCGGCUGGCUGCGCUCCUCAGAGUGUUGGGCCAGUCACCGGCAAGGUAGGGUAGGGCAUGGAACACGAGCUGGCUCACGGGACUCAAGGCCCGCCGUCUCCCAUGCCCUACUCUUCCUCAUCAGAGACCGGAACCCGAACGAUGCCGGUGGACGUCAGAUCGAUGAUGGAUCCGUCAGGGAACGAGCCGCCGACGUCCACCACGAUGCGGUCGCGGCGCCCGAACUGAUGCGCCAUACGGGGCGCCGGAGAAUGCGAGUCCGCCUCGCCGACGCCCGCCGCCACAAGGGCUGCCGCGGCCUCCCACGCCCGGUGCCUUGCACGACGUGCAUGCCGUGCCAUGGCCUCGUCCCCAAUAUCGGCGUGCCACCAGAGGGGUUGCACGUCCGCCAGCCCGUUUGGAUGUCAGACGGACCGCACGGCCUUCGGCAUAGCUAUGGCCAGCCUAGCACCGGAUCCAUGCCCCAUUUGGGCGGCCGCAAUGGAUCCCCGAUGGAUGGAGUCCGAGCGCAGCCGUCCACGGCCCUCCUCCCUGGCGCGGCGGAGCACAAGCCGGACGGCCAUCUCCUCCUCGGGGCCGCGCAGGAUGUGUUCGGGGUCGACGGAUCUGGAGGUGGAGGACUCGGAUCCGCUGCCCGCCAUGCCGGAGAGGACCGGAAGGAGCCGGAGACGAGCUUGGGUGACGGAGGAGAGUGGAGGGGAGGGGGUGAAGUGGCUAGGGUUUGGUUCGGCGAGCAGAUGGGGAGGAUUUUAUGUGGGGUCGGGUGGGCCAGCAUGGGCCGGGUCGGACGUGGCGGGCGUGCCCGGGCGCCCCCAUAUCCGCCCCAUAUUUGGGCUGGAUAUGAGGGGUGCCGGUCAGCCCGGGCAUUUGAGGGGCCCGUCUGGAUCAAAAAAUCGUGA
rnacentral:rRNA from 1 species